rnacentral:rRNA from 1 species
CAGUAGCCGCGGUAAUACGGAGGGUGCAAGCGUUAUCCGGAUUUAUUGGGUUUAAAGGGUCCGUAGGCGGAUCUGUAAGUCAGUGGUGAAAUCUCACAGCUUAACUGUGAAACUGCCAUUGAUACUGCAGGUCUUGAGUAAAUUUGAAGUGGCUGGAAUAAGUAGUGUAGCGGUGAAAUGCAUAGAUAUUACUUAGAACACCAAUUGCGAAGGCAGGUCACUAAGAUUUAACUGACGCUGAUGGACGAAAGCGUGGUGAGCGAACAGGAUUAGAUACCCGCGUAGUCCCUGUCUCUUAUAC